UUUUUUUUUUAUUUAAGAUAAAGUGCUAUAUGACUGGCUCACAUUGUCAAGCUUUUCAGGCUAAAUAUUAAAUAAUUUGGAGGAAAGUAAUUGCUUAGAGCAUCAUUUUAAGUUGUACUGUUAACCUCAUCUUACAGUGUACAGGAAACCUUUGCAUAUGAUUAAAUACUGUUUAUAACAGAAUCACAGAAUAGUUGAGGUUGGAGGGGACCUCUGAAGAUCUUCUGGUCCAACCCCACUGCUCAAGCGAGGCUGUCUAGAGCCUGUUGCCCAGGACUGUGUUCAAAUGGCUUUUGAGUAUCUUCAAAGAUGAACAUGUACGUCUAAAGAUGCAUUUAAAAUCAGCCCGAAUCUUUUUUUAAUUCCCAAGGCUUACUUCUGCAUUGACCCCUUUUCUUUCUUCUCUAGCAUAUCAGGCUGUAUGUGGAAACAAGAGGAACAACAUUUGAUUCUAAGCUUUCCUAGGGAGAAAUUUUUAAAGUGAAAUCAUGCAAAGGCAGUAACGACUCUUCAAUGCUGUUUAUUCUGAAUACAGAAAUUCCAAUAAAGCCCUUUUUCAGGCAUAUCGGGUUUUAUGCUUGGUCUGUUUGGAUCUUUGGUUCAAAUGGAGGAAUUGUAGGAGGCCUUUGACUGAGAUGUCUGAGAUUGCCCAGAAGGGCUGAAUUCAUUGCAGAUCAUAAAUGCCCUCUUCUUGCCAAUAUCUAGAAUGAAGGACACUGGACUAAAGUGUGCAAACUAGUUGAAGGUGUUUUUACAUUUUUCAGAUAAUAGCCUUUGGGAUGGCAGUCAAGAAGCACAAAAGUUAUAAUAGUGAACUGUUAUGUGAAUGGUACCAUUUAGAAAUAUCACUGUGUCUAAUCUUUCGUCAAGACAGCUGACUUCAAUUUUAUUAUCAUACUUGUCCUGUUUUAGAAUGUUGUCCUCUUCUGGUUGCUAUUUGAUGGAUAUGCUCAGACUGAUUUGUUUACUAACCAAACCAAAAUGAAUGGUUAAAUAGCUUUUCUGAAAAAAACAGAUGACAUGAAUUGUAAUAUCUUUGAUAUCUUUGUCAGCAACAUGGACAGUGGGAUUGAGGGCACCCUCAGCAAGUUUGCCAAUCACACUGACCUGUGAGGUGCAGGUGACAUGCUGGCAGGACAGGAUGCCAUCCAGAGGGACCUGGACAGGCUGGAGAGGUGGGACAGUGUGAACCUCAUGAAG
rnacentral:lncRNA from 1 species